rnacentral:rRNA from 1 species
AGAACGAACGCUGGCGGCAUGCCUAAUACAUGCAAGUCGAACGAACACUUCGGUGUUAGUGGCGCACGGGUGCGUAACGCGUGGGAAUCUGCCCUUGGGUUCGGAAUAACAGUUGGAAACGACUGGCUAAUACCGGAUGAUAUCGAAAGAUCAAAGAUUUAUCGCCCAGGGAUGAGCCCGCGUAGGAUUAGCUAGUUGGUGAGGUAAAGGCUCACCAAGGCGACGAUCCUUAGCUGGUCUGAGAGGAUGAUCAGCCACACUGGGACUGAGACACGGCCCAGACUCCGUACGGGAGCAGCAGUAGGGAAUAGUGGACAAUGGGCGCAAGCCUGAUCCAGCAAUCGCCGCGUCGAGUGA